rnacentral:rRNA from 1 species
GAUGAACGCUGACGGCGUGCUUAACACAUGCAAGUCGAACGAUGAAGCCCAGCUUGCCGGGUGGAUUAGUGGCGAACGGGUGAGUAACACGUGAGUAACCUGCCCUUAACUCUGGGAUAAGCCUGGGAAACUGGGUCUAAUACCGGAUAGGAGCGUCCACCGCAUGGUGGGUGUUGGAAAGAUUUAUCGGUUUUGGAUGGACUCGCGGCCUAUCAGCUUGUUGGUGAGGUAAUGGCUCACCAAGGCGACGACGGGUAGCCGGCCUGAGAGGGUGACCGGCCACACUGGGACUGAGACACGGCCCAGACUCCUACGGGAGGCAGCAGUGGGGAAUAUUGCACAAUGGGCGCAAGCCUGAUGCAGCGACGCCGCGUGAGGGAUGACGGCCUUCGGGUUGUAAACCUCUUUCAGUAGGGAAGAAGCGAAAGUGACGGUACCUGCAGAAGAAGCACCGGCUAACUACGUG